UGGAUGAUGUGGUUUAAUUCGAUGCAACGCGAAAACCUUUACCACCUUUGACAUGUCCGGAAUCCUGCAGAGAUGCGGGAGUGCCCGAAAGGGAAUCGGAACACAGGUGCUGCAUGGCUGUCGUCAGCUCGUGUCGUGAGAUGUUGGGUUAAGUCCCGCAACGAGCGCAACCCUUAUCAUUAGUUGCUACGCAAGGGCACUCUAAUGAGACUGCCGGUGACAAACCGGAGGAAGGUGGGGAUGACGUCAAGUCCUCAUGGCCCUUAUGGGUAGGGCUUCGCACGUCAUACAAUGGUCGGUACAGAGGGUUGCCAAGCCGCGAGGUGGAGCCAAUCCCAGAAAGCCGAUCGUAGUCCGGAUUGUUCUCUGCAACUCGAGAGCAUGAAGUCGGAAUCGCUAGUAAUCGCGGAUCAGCAUGUCGCGGUGAAUACGUUCCCGGGUCUU
rnacentral:rRNA from 1 species